rnacentral:lncRNA from 10 species
CAUCUCUGUGCCUCUCAAACUCUGGGAGAUGAUUUACCCUUGAAAGAGCUCAAGGAGCAUUUCUCAAGGAUGGAUCAUAACUGACUAUUGUGUGUCUCAAGGUUGGCUCCAAACCAGCAGAAGCUGAAUAAAGAACUGUGAACUUGGAAUGACUGUGGGACGCUAGGCUCUUACUGGUCCUAACUGAAGACUUUUUCCCAACAGCGAGCAAUGGGGCUUCUUUUAACCAACUCUAUUUACAACCUUAGAUUCAUUCCGUUCUUUGCAAAGUACUGGAUUUCAACACUUAAUUAGCAAUAACCACAUGAACCUACCCUGGCAAGCCCUUUAACAACUCUGAAUUUUCCCUCUCAGUGAGCUACUACUUAAUUCAGUAAAUUUCUCCCUAUCCUGUAUUCCUGUGGCUAGCAAGUCAAUAGACUCAGCUUUUAUUUUAUUUUGAGUUGGAGUCUCGCUCUGUCAUUCAGGCUAGAGUGCAGUAGCUUCAUUUUGGCUCACUGCAACCUCUGCCUCCCGGGUUCAAGCGAUUCUCUUGCCUCAGCCUCCUGGGUAGCUGGGACUACAGGCAUGUGCCACCAUGCCCAGCUAAUUUCUGCAUUUCUAGUGGAGAUGGGGUUUCACCAUGUUGGCCAGGCUGGUCUUGAACUCCUCACCUCAAGUGAUCCACCGGCCUCGGCCUCCCAAAGUGCUGGGAUUACAGGCAUGAGCCAGUGCUCCUGACCUCAACUUUUAAUUUUUAUCUAUCGAUCUAGUCUAUUAUUACCCGCUACUUACCUACCCAUCCAUCCAUUCAUCCAUCCAUCCAUCUGCCCAUCCUUUUUUUUGUUUAUUAGCUCUGGUCUUUGUUAUAUUUGUUGAUAGGCCCAAGUAAAUUAGUAUGUGUAAAACUCACUUAAAACAGUGCUUAGCACAUGGUAAGCAUAAUAUGUGAUAGCCCUUAUGAUCUAGUAACUCACCAGUAUCUUGUGUGUAUUAGAACAAUGUGUCUCUGUAAUAUUUUAAUUAUAUCUCUAUAAGAGCAUACAUAAAUGACAAUAUAUAAAUCUCAAUAACAGAAUGUUUCUAACCCAAGUUUUAAGUAAUGAUAUGUGUUCAGGAAUACUUCAUCUGGCAUCUAGGGGAAUGGUUGGGAAGAUUUUGAGCUUCUCCAGUGGGAAAAAGGCUGGCAUAUUCAGGUCUAACUUCAGAGUCAAAGUCUUUGAAGUUAAUAAAUAGUUUUUAAUUUUGAAUAAAAUAAAAACUAUUUUUUUUAGUUUGAAGAAAGACUAUUCA